rnacentral:rRNA from 1 species
AUUGAACGCUGGCGGCAUGCUUUACACAUGCAAGUCGAACGGUAACAGGCCUUCGGGUGCUGACGAGUGGCGAACGGGUGAGUAAUGCAUCGGAACGUGCCCAGAGGUGGGGGAUAACGCAGCGAAAGCUGUGCUAAUACCGCAUGUGAUCUGAGGAUGAAAGCGGGGGACCAGGCAGCAAUGUUUGGCCUCGCGCCUUUGGAGCGGCCGAUGUCAGAUUAGGUAGUUGGUGGGGUAAAGGCCAACCAAGCCGACGAUCUGUAGCUGGUCUGAGAGGACGACCAGCCACACUGGGACUGAGACACGGCCCAGACUCCUACGGGAGGCAGCAGUGGGGAAUUUUGGACAAUGGGCGCAAGCCUGAUCCAGCAAUGCCGCGUGCGGGAAGAAGGCCUUCGGGUUGUAAACCGCUUUUGUACGGAACGAAAAGGCUCUGGCUAAUACCUGGGGCUGAUGACGGUACCGUAAGAAUAAGCACCGGCUAACUACGUG